rnacentral:ncRNA from 1 species
UAUCUUCGGGGCAGGGUGAAAUUCCUGACCGGCGGUGAAAGCCCGCGACUUCCGCUUAGCGGAACUGAUUCGGUGAAAUUCCGGAGCCGACGGUAAUAGUCCGGAUGAGAGAGGAU